CAUAUGGUGCACAUACACACAUACACAUGGGUGUGUGUGUGUGUGUGUGUGUGUGUGUGUAGUAAAGAAUUC
rnacentral:miRNA from 14 species